UCAGGCUGAACUAAUAGGCAGAUGGCCACAAUCUCUCCACGAUCAGACUCCCGUAUGGAUGAGUGGAAGUGGCUGCUCUCAAACACGGCAUAGAGGGAGAAUGGGUCGCAGUGCAUCUGCCCGAGGACGGGCCUCCACGUCUGCCACUGCACCACACCGGUUCAGCAAGCAGAGUCCAAAUGAUGACACAACUGUGCCAGAAGCAGUUUACUAAAGAAAACAUGAAUAAUGACAAGAACCGUCGAGGAAUCGUCCAGAGUGCAUGAGGAACAAGAGCAAGCAGGACAAACUCAGCAGGAAAAGCAGGUUGUCCCUGAGGAUUGGCCCUAUUGACUACGCCAGGAUCCCACAAUCCUUUGGCUCUCCUCUGGCGGUGUCUUUCUUUAGCCCUGAUUUUGGAUGUUGGCAGGCAAGUUUCUUUUCGUUGGCAUUGCGACGCUGCAGCAGCGUGCCAGCUGUUUACGCCUCUUUGUCUUUCAGUUAUG